GCAGGCUGUCCCCGUACGGGCUGCUCCCCUGUGGCUCCGAAGCCACCUUUUUCUGAAGUUGUCAGCCCGCGUGUUUGAGAUUUCGUUUCUGGAAUCUCACGCGAACAAUCUGGAGAGAGGAACAGGGGUCUUGCGGCUUUGGCUGUUGACUCAAGGGGAAAAUAAAAACCAGACAAUGGGGAUGUAAUGAAUGCAAAGUGACCCGUGAGCAAACUGGACGCUUUUCUCCGGCUGACAGGCAUGAGUUCUCCCCGUAGCUUGCCCCACAUACUGUGAGUUAAACUGUGUCAAAGUAAGAGCAGUUUAGCCCCACAGUUCUGAGCAAGAGUCCUUAGCGCUGACCUUCUUAGUGAAGAUACUUUGCAAUGUGUAAAAUAUUGAAUACAAAAUUAUUGUGCAAAGCUUCUGAGUUGAAGAUUCUGAGUGCGCGGAGGCUGGCGGCAGCCCUUACUUGCCAUUGCAAGGAUCUCAACUUACU
rnacentral:lncRNA from 1 species